rnacentral:rRNA from 1 species
AGCAGCCGCGGUAAUUCCAGCUCCAAUAGCGUAUAUUAAAGUUGUUGCAGUUAAAAAGCUCGUAGUUGAAUUUCGGGGUUAGUAAGUUGGUCAUGCCUUCGGUAUGUACUGGCUUUACUGAUUCCUCCUCCUUGACGAACCGUGAUGUCAUUAAUUUGGUGUUGCGGGAAAUCAGGACUGUUACUUUGAAAAAAUUAGAGUGUUUAAAGCAGGCUAACGCUUGAAUACAUUAGCAUGGAAUAAUGAAAUAGGACGUUAAUCCUAUUUUGUUGGUUUCUAGGAUCGACGUAAUGAUUAAUAGGGAUAGUUGGGGGCAUUAGUAUUCAAUUGUCAGAGGUGAAAUUCUUGGAUUUAUUGAAGACUAACUACUGCGAAAGCAUUUGCCAAGGAUGUUUUCAUUAAUCAAGAACGAAAGUUAGGGGAUCGAAGACGAUCAGAUACCGUCGUAGUCUUAACCAUAAACUAUGCCGACUAGGGAUCGGAUGAUGUUAUUUUUAAUGACUCA